GAUGAUGAUCUUGGAUCUUCAAGGUCUGCUCAUUUUUGAUGCGGUGGUGAAUGUUUAUUGUUCUUGCUUAUUGGCUUAUGGAUCAAAUGGGGAAACAUAUGUGGGGAGAGAAUGGAGGAGGAACGAAAUUCAUUCUUAUGUGAACUAGAGUUCAACCACCAGGCCAAACUUUCUCUGCUUUCUCACGUGCAAACCUGCUACAGACAGAAGAAUGAAACUGUUUUUCAGGGACAUGAGGGCUGCAAGCUUGGGUAAAAACUUCCUCAGUGGGAGAUCAGAAGAGCCAGCUAUCAUCAGCAACUUUUUCUGUGUUGUUACAAGGUGUAAAGAUGGCUUAACGAGUCACUUCCUCCUCUCUGUCAUUGAAGGAAUCAUUCUGGCUCAAGAUCAUUAUGAGGGUAUUGCAAGAACAUGGUCUGCUCUCAACAAGGGAGAUUGUCAGCAUAUGGCAUAUAUAAACCAGCAAUUUUUCAAUACUCUGGAGAGCUUCUUAAGGGCCUUACAAAAUACCACUGAUGGCAGUUGUGAAUGUCGCCUACUGUUAGAGAACAUCCAGAGACACUUACAAACGUAAAGCCUGUAUUUUCGGUUAGCUGAAAAUUUGGAGCCACUGUUGUCAGAAAAUCCAGUGGUAGCUUUUCUCAGCAAUUUCAAUCUUUUGAAUGGUGAGUUCCUGUUUUCUUCAGCACUUUUUUGCAGUUCUCUGCUGUGUAUCUUUUUUGCAGCAGAGUAACUUUUUGGUUGUUCUCCUAAGGUUAAAAGGAUAUUGCUUAUGGAAAGUACUGAUUUAAGGCAAUAUAUUCUCAGUAUGUACACAUAUACACACAUAGACACUAUUCUUGUCCCAGGAUGGUAUAGUUCACCCUGUUGAGGCCUGUCCUAGGGACAUGUAGGGAUUCAUUAGAAAGAGG
rnacentral:lncRNA from 1 species